rnacentral:tRNA from 3 species
GGGCGCUUGGCUCAGCGGUAGAGCACCGCCUUCACACGGCGGGGGUCAGUGGUUCGAAUCCACUAGCGCCCACCA